rnacentral:rRNA from 1 species
UACGUAGGGGACAAGCGUUGUCCGGAAUUAUUGGGCGUAAAGCGCGUGUAGGCGGCCAAGUAAGUCUUACGUUGAAAUCCUGAGGCUCAACCUCAGCCUGCGCGGGAUACUGCUUGGCUAGAGUCCGGAAGAGGAGAGUGGAAUUCCUGGUGUAGCGGUGGAAUGCGCAGAUAUCAGGAGGAACACCGGUGGCGAAGGCGGGUCUCUGGGCAACAACUGACGCUGAGGAGCGAAAGCGUGGGGAGCGAACAGG